CAAUAGCGUAUAUUUAAGUUGCUGCAGUUAAAAAGCUCGUAGUUGGAUUUCGGGUGGGAAUGGCCGGUCCGCCGUUUCGGUGUGCACUUGCUACGCCCACCUUGCUGCCGGGGACGUGCUCUUGAGUUCACGCUCGGGACACGGAGUCGGCGAGGUUACUUUGAGUAAAUUAGAGUGUUCAAAGCAGGCCUACGCUCUGAAUACAUUAGCAUGGAAUAACACGAUAGGACUUUGGCCUAUCUUGUUGGUCUGUAGGACCGGAGUAAUGAUUAAGAGGGACAGUCGGGGGCAUUCGUAUUUCAUUGUCAGAGGUGAAAUUCUUGGAUUUAUGAAAGACGAACUACUGCGAAAGCAUUUGCCAAGGAUGUUUUCAUUAA
rnacentral:rRNA from 1 species